GUAAUAUUCACAAUUUCUGUGAUUGUCACCCACAGAAACUAUAGCUAUUUCCAUACCUGAUAAACCCAUUGUGAUUGUUACUGAUUGAUUGAUUGAUCGAAAACUCAUUUAUACUCAUUACUAUUUUGAAUUUAUAGGCAUUCGUAGACCUACAUUUUAUUUAAUGCACCAAUAAAGACAUGUUGUGUCAUAAUUUUAUUUUUAAUAUAUUUUUAUUUCCUCAUAUUUUACCUUUUAAAACCUUUAUUAGUACAUGUUUUGUGGUACAUAAUAAUUGCAUCCAUCUGGGGAAGUUGGUACAUGCACAUAACACCUCUUAAUUCUUUUUACCCCUCCCCUCUUCCUCCCCCAUCUCCCUCCAUCUCUUGAUCCCCUUCCCGUUUGCUAAAGAUCUAUCUCCCCUAUAUCAUUUUAUCCAUAACCAUAAUAAGUAGAAACAAUAGCCCCUACAGAUAACCACAUCCUAAUCCUAAAAGCCUGUGAUCCAUUUCUCGUCCAAGGAAAAAACCCUGAAAACAUGAGUAAGAGAUUUGUGAAAAAUUCUAUAUUCAUGACCCAGUGGAAGAUUACCAAAUCCUAGAGCACCCCAAACACCCUGUAGAAGCUGUUCCUGAUCCUUUGUUAAGGGGCAGCCUGAUUACUCUUUUUUCACUACUGUCACCACGUUCUUCAUCUUCCUAAACUUCCACUGAACCUUUUGUCAUUAAGUUCAUAUUCUUGCCUCAGUUUUAAUUUCUGUUACCACUGAGACAAACAUUCCCAUGAAUCAGGAGCUGCUACUAUAAAAUAUACAUGUACUCCAAAUGCAUAACAGCGAAGAGUAUAAGUUUUGUUUCUUCCUUGUAUGAGAGUCCGGGCUGGGAGUCUUUGGGCAGAGGGUGACUGUCUUGCAGGUCGUGUUUGAUGGAGGCAGGUUCCUUCCAGGUUGUGAUUCCAUCCUCACCCAGUGGCUUUUUUUUUUUUCCACCCCCAUCCAGCUAGAGGAAUGGGAUAGAGAACUUGGAGGUGUUACACUAUCUCCUUAAGGCUUUGCCCCAAACUUGAAAAUAGCUUUCCACUUCUACUCAGACUUUAUUGGGAAGAAAUCGUCCCAUGGCCACAGCAGGUAGAAUCUUGCUUCUUCCUCUGUUACCUGAGAUUGAAAAAGCGGUGACAGAAGCAAGUGAACA
ensembl:lncRNA